rnacentral:rRNA from 1 species
CGGCAAUGGGGAAACCCUGACCGAGCGACGCCGCGUGUGGGAUGAAGGCCCUUGGGUUGUAAACCACUGUCAGAGGGGAUGAAAUGCCGGAAAGUUAUCUCUCCGGUUUGACAUAGCCUCAGAGGAAGCACGGGCUAAGUUCGUGCCAGCAGCCGCGGUAAGACGAACUGUGCAAACGUUAUUCGGAAUCACUGGGCUUGAAGAGUGCGUAGGCGGCUUCGUAAGUAGGGUGUGAAAGCCCCCGACUCAACCGGGGAAUUGCGUCCUAAACUGCGAGGCUGGAGUGAGGUAGGGGUGUGUGGAACUUCCAGUGGAGCGGUGAAAUGUGUUGAUAUUGGAAGGAACGCCGGUGGCGAAAGCGACACACUGGACCUUGUCUGACGCUGAGGCACGAAAGCCAGGGGAGCAAACGGGAUUAGAUACCCCCGUAGU